ACUCAUAUAGUUUAUUGUAGAUAAUAAAAUUAAGAUUUGUGGAUUCUUAGAAGGUAUGACCUAUGAGUU
rnacentral:tRNA from 1 species